UUAGUGGCGGACGGGUGAGUAACGCGUGGAUAACCUGCCGUAUGCAGGGGGAUAACAGUUGGAAACAGCUGCUAAUACCGCAUAAGCGCACAAUACCGCAUGGUACUGUGUGAAAAGAUUUAUCGGCAUACGAUGGAUCCGCGUCCGAUUAGCCAGUUGGCGGGGUAACGGCCCACCAAAGCGACGAUCGGUAGCCGGCCUGAGAGGGUGGACGGCCACAUUGGGACUGAGACACGGCCCAAACUCCUACGGGAGGCAGCAGUGGGGAAUAUUGCACAAUGGGGGAAACCCUGAUGCAGCGACGCCGCGUGAGUGAAGAAGUAUCUCGGUAUGUAAAGCUCUAUCAGCAGGGAAGAAAAUGACGGUACCUGACUAAGAAGCCCCGGCUAACUACGUGCCAGCAGCCGCGGUAAUACGUAGGGGGCGAGCGUUAUCCGGAUUUACUGGGUGCAAAGGGAGCGUAGACGGUUCUGCAAGUCUGAAGUGAAAGCCCGUGGCUUAACCGCGGAACGGCUUUGGAAACUGUGGAACUGGAGUGCUGGAGAGGCAAGCGGAAUUCCUAGUGUAGCGGUGAAAUGCGUAGAUAUUAGGAGGAACACCAGUGGCGAAGGCGGCUUGCUGGACAGUAACUGACGUUGAGGCUCGAAAGCGUGGGGAGCAAACAGGAUUAGAUACCCUGGUAGUCCACGCGGUAAACGAUGAAUGCUAGGUGUCGGGGAGCAAAGCUCUUCGGUGCCGCCGCAAACGCAGUAAGCAUUCCACCUGGGGAGUACGUUCGCAAGAAUGAAAC
rnacentral:rRNA from 1 species